rnacentral:misc_RNA from 1 species
GAAAUGCGAUAAGUAGUGUGAAUUGCAGAAUUCAGUGAAUCAUCGAAUCUUUGAACGCACAUUGCGCCCUAUGGUAUUCCGUAGGGCAUGCCUGUUCGAGCGUCAUUCACACCUUCAAGCCUUGCUUGGUGUUGGGUGACUGUGGCCCCUUUGGGGCCACUCGCCUUAAAGUCAUUGGCGGCCGGUUCGUUGGCUUUGUAGCGCAGCACAAUUGCGUCCUCGAAGCCGCUGGACCAGCUCCCAGAAGCUAAUUUUAAAUGUUUGACCUCGAAUCAGGUAGGGAUACCCGCUGAACUUAAGC